CUUAAUGGACUGACAAAUGAUUUGGGAAGGUGUCUAAACUACGGUGGCCCAGAGGUGUCACAGCAAAUAAAAGCCGCAACACAACAAAAUAAGUCACAACACUACAAAAUAAACCACAACACAACACAAUA